GAUGAAGAACGUAGUGAAAUGCGAUAAGUAAUGUGAAUUGCAGAAUUCAGUGAAUCAUCGAAUCUUUGAACGCACCUUGCGCUCCUUGGUAUUCCUCGGAGCAUGCCUGUUUGAGUAUCAUGAAACUCUCAAAGAAAAUCUUUUGUUAAUUCAAUUGGUUUGCUUUGGACUUGGAGGUUUUUUUUUGCAGAUUAAUUUCUGCUCCUCUUAAAUAUAUUAGCUGGAUCUCAGUAUAUGCUCGGUUCCACUCGGCGUGAUAAGUAUCACUCGCUGAGGACACUGGUAAAAAAGGUGGCCGGGAAAUACAGAUGAACCGCUUCAAACAGUCCAUUCACUUGGACAAUAUAAAGUUUUAAGAUCUGAUCUCAAAUCAGGUAGGACUACCCGCUGAACUUAAGCAUAUCAAUAAGCGGAGGA
rnacentral:misc_RNA from 1 species